CUGAUCACGAUUCCUCCAGAGUGGCCAGCCGGGGCCUGUGUGCGUGUUCGUGCGCACAUACAUGCGUAUGAGCUGUUUCUGAGACGUAUAGUGAUCUGAGAAUGAAGGGAAGUAAGAGAGCGAGGAUUGGUUCAUCUUCUCUGCAGCUCGGAGUGGAAGAUGAAGGCAGACUUGAGGUGCCUGAGUCACCAGUACAUACUGUGUGGGAGGGCUGGAUGAUCGCAGAAUGAGGAACACAAGUGGAAUGAAACUCACUGACUUUCAGCAUGAGGGUUAGGGUGAAAGAGGAUUCAGAUACUUCUUAGAUUUCUGGCGCAGGAGAGGAUCUUCAUACGAAUACUUGAAAGGGAAAAAACGAGUUGAACGCAGCGCACUUUGUAACAUUACUUUAACAGGCAACAGAGCAGAGAAAUAUUCUGCACACGAAAAACAAACCACUGCCUGUUCUCUGACAGUGCAGAUGGAUAUAAUAACACACCUCCUACUCCUAUAACCCUGCUUCAACUCUGUUACCUCCUUCCCUCCAUCUUCAAGCAGAAGAACAUAAAGAUCAACAUUCCUGCAGUUUCACAUUCCCAUACAGAGUUUUGCAUCAAUCACAGAGGGUGGCCACACAGGAAGGUGAGAUGAAAAACAUGCCUUUGCCUGAUCCACGAACAUUUUGUCUAUUGCAGUAUUAUUGUCGAUGCUGCUCUCAUGUUGUGGAAUACAGGAAAACAAAAACUA